rnacentral:misc_RNA from 1 species
GCCAAAAGUCUGCAAAUAUUAAGCAUGCAUCCACAUUGAGUAGAGUCCACAAAUCUUUCAAAGGUCAAACCAGGAAAAUUUAUGUAUAAAAAUAUGUAAUACCUCUGUGUCUAUUUUCAGUUGCUCAGAGAAUUUAGUCCUUCCAUUCUGAGAAUCAUAAUCAAGUGCAUUGCAGGAGAGUGUAUCAAAAAAGUCAUCUUUGUUA